CGACCUCAGGUCAGACGGUGGCGACCCGCUGAAUUUAAGCAUAUAGUCAGGCGGAGGAAAAGAAAAACACGAGGAUUCCCUCAGUACGGCGAGUGAAGGAGGGAAGAGCAGCCAGCGCGAAGUGCCCCGCCCGCGGGGGGGCGGGAGGGUGUGGGCGUACGGAAGCCCCAUCCCCGGCGCCGCUCUCGGGGGGCCCAAUCCUUCUGAUCGAGGCCGCCCGGGACGGUGUGGAGGCCGUAGCGGGCCCCCGGCGCGCCGGGCCCGGGGCUUCUCGGAGUCGGGUGCUUGGAAUGCAGCCCAAAGCGGGCGUGUAAACCUCCAUCUAGGCUAAAUACCGGCACGGAGACGAUAGCAACAAGUACGUAGGGAAAGUUAAAGAACUUUGAAGAGAGAGUUCAAGAGGGCGUGAAACCGUUAAGAGGUAAACGGGUGGGGUCCGCGCAGUCGGCCCGGAGGAUUCAACCCGGCGGGCCAAGGUCGGCCGGCGCGGGCGCCGUCGGAUCCCCGCCUCCGCCUCCCCUCCGUCCCUCCCCUUCGCCGGGGCGGGGCGGGCCCAAGGGGGGCGGCCGGCCGGGGACCGCCGCCGGCCGGCGUCCGGCCCCCGUCGGGCGCAUUUCCUCCGCGGCGGUGCGCCGCGACCGGCUCCGGGACGGCUGGAGGGCUGCCGCGGCAGGUGGCCCGGCGCCGCGCGAGCGGCCGCCGGGUGUUAUAGCCGCCGGGCCCGAUCGUCGCCGAAUCCCGGGCCGAGGGAGAGGACCGCCGCCGCGCCCUCCCCGGAGGGGGCGGCCCCCCGGAGGGCCCCCGCGGCCGGACCGGCGUCGGGCCGGCCGCGCCGCGCGCGCGUCCGCGCCGCCGCCGUACGCCGCCGCUCGCUCUCUCUCCGUUCCCCGCCCCGGGUCCGUCCCGGGCGCGGGGGGGGGGGUCGGGUGUCCGGCGCGCGGCUCGGCGCGGCGCCGCGCGUGUGGCGCGCGCCUCCAGCCCGGCGCGGGCGAGGCCGCGGGGGGCGCCGGGGGGGAACCUUCCCCCUUCUGUUCGGGCCGCCUCCGUUCCCGCGGGGGCGGCCCGUUCGGGGGACGGGCCCGCCGGCCCCCGGCGCCGCUGUCCGACCGGGGCGGACUGCGCUCAGUGCGCCCCCCGCGCGGCGCCGCCGGGCCGGGCUCGGGCCACGCCAGGGCGCCCGGGGUCCGCGGCGACGUCGGCUACCCACCCGACCCGUCUUGAAACACGGACCAAGGAGUCUAGCACGCGCGCGAGUCGGCGGCUCGCGCGAAAGCCCGCGGCGCAAUGAAGGUGAGGGCCGGCGCGCGCCGGCUGAGGUGGGAUCCCGGGGCGGCAGGCCGGAAGGCCCCGGGCGCACCACCGGCCCGUCUCGCCCGCCUCGCCGGGGAGGUGGAGCAUUGAAGCGCGCGUGCUUUAGGACCCGAAAGCUGUGCUGAACCUGCCUGGAGGGCGAAGCCAGAGGAACUCUGGUGGAGGUCCGUAGCGGUCCUGACGUGCAAAUCGGUCGUCCACCCCGGGUAUGUAGCGCGGGAAAAGGGAGGACUAAUUCGAACCCAUGCUAGUAGCUGUUCCUCGAAAGUUUCCCUCAGGAUAGUGGGCUCGGGGCGGCUGCAAGUAUUUACCCGGUAAAGCGAAUGAUUAGAGCUUGGAGCCGAAACAGAUUCAACAUAAUUCUCAAAACUUUCAAAUGGAGAAUAACACGCCCGCGCCUCCGCUGGCGUCGCGAGCCGGGCCGGGAAUCGCACCGCGCUCAGUGGGCCCACUUUUGGUAAGCGAACUGGCGCUGCGGGAUGAAACCGAAACGCCGGCGUUAAUUGGCGCCCGAUGCCAGAAACGCUAUUCAUCAGAGAGCCAGAAAAGGUGUUGGUUGAAUCUAGGACAGCAGGGACGGUGGGCCAAUGGAAGUCGGAACACCCGCUAAGGAGUGUGUACAACUCACCCUGCCGAAUCAACUAGCCCUGAAAAUGGAUGGCGCGUGGAGUCGCGGGCCCAUACCCGGCCGUCGCUCCGAGGCGGACCGCGGAGCCGCGGGGGCUACGCCGCGACGAGGUAGGAGGGCCGCUCGCGGUGCGCCUGGAAGCCUGUGGGCGCGGGCCCGGGUGGAGCCGCCGCAGGUGCAGAUCUUGGUGGUAGUAGCAACUAUUCAAACGAGAGCUUUGAAGGCCGACAGUGGGAGCAGGGUUCCAUGUGAACAGCAGUCUGAACAUGGGUCAGUCGUCCUAAGCGAUAGGCGAGCGGCCGUUCCGAAGGGACGGGGCGAUGGCCUCCGUUGCCCUCAGCCGAUCGAAGAGGGGAGUCGGGUUCAGAUCCCCGAAUCCGGAGCGGCGGAGACGGGGCGCCGCGAGGCGCCCAGUGCGGUAACGCAAGCGAUCCCGGAGAAGCCGGCGGGAGCCCCGGGGAGAGUUCUCUUUUCUUUGUGAAGGGCCGGGCCGCCCUGGAACGGGUUCGCCCCGAGAGAGGGGCCCGCGCCUUGGAAAGCGUCGCGGUUCCGGCGCGUCCG
rnacentral:rRNA from 1 species